rnacentral:rRNA from 1 species
CUGGAGAGUUUGAUUCUGGCUCAGGACGAACGCUGGCGGCGUGCUUAAGACAUGCAAGUCGUACGAGAAAGUCACUUCGGUGAUGAGUAAAGUGGCGCACGGGUGAGUAACGCGUGGAUAAUCUGCCCUUAGGUUUGGGAUAACCCCGGGAAACCGGAGCUAAUACCGAAUGAGACCACGAUGACUUCGGUCGAUGUGGGAAAAGGUGGCCUCUUCUUGAAAGCCAUCGCCAAAGGAUGAGUCCGCGUUUGAUUAGCUUGUUGGUGAGGUAAAAGCUCACCAAGGCUCCGAUCAAUAGCUGGUCUGAGAGGACGAUCAGCCACACUGGAACUGAGACACGGUCCAGACUCCUACGGGAGGCAGCAGU